rnacentral:rRNA from 1 species
GACGGAGGAUGCAAGCGUUGUCCGGAAUCAUUGGGCGUAAAGAGUUCGUAGGCGGCCUGUCAAGUCCGGUGUUAAAGGCUAUGGCUUAACCAUAGUUCGGCGCUGGAAACUGACAAGCUGGAGUCUAGCAGAGGCAAGGGGAAUUCCCAGUGUAGCGGUGAAAUGCGUAGAUAUUGGGAGGAACACCAGUGGCGAAAGCGCCUUGCUGGGCUAGUACUGACGCUGAGGAACGAAAGCCAGGGGAG